UACGUAGGGGGCCAGCGUUGUCCGGAUUCAUUGGGCGUAAAGAGCGUGUAGGCGGCCUGAAAGGUCAGCUGUGAAAACUCGAGGCUCAACCUCGAGACGUCGGUUGAAACCAUCUGGCUAGAGUCCGGAAGAGGAGUGUGGAAUUCCCGGUGUAGCGGUGAAAUGCGCAGAUAUCGGGAAGAACACCCGUGGCGAAGGCGGCACUCUGGGACGGUACUGACGCUGAGACGCGAAAGCGUGGGGAGCGAACAGG
rnacentral:rRNA from 1 species